rnacentral:rRNA from 1 species
CCCGCUGAACUUAAGCAUAUCAAUAAGCGGAGGAAAAGAAACUAACAAGGAUUCCCCUAGUAACUGCGAGUGAAGCGGGAAAAGCUCAAAUUUAAAAUCUGGUGGUCCUCUGGCCGUCCGAGUUGUAAUCUGGAGAAGCGUUUUCCGCGUCGGACCGUGUACAAGUCUUCUGGAACGGAGCGUCAUAGAGGGUGAGAAUCCCGUCUCUGACACGGACCGCCGACGCUUCAUGUGAUACGCUCUCGAAGAGUCGAGUUGUUUGGGAAUGCAGCUCAAAAUGGGUGGUAAAUUCCAUCUAAAGCUAAAUAUUGGCGAGAGACCGAUAGCGAACAAGUACCGUGAGGGAAAGAUGAAAAGAACUUUGGAAAGAGAGUUAAACAGUACGUGAAAUUGCUGAAAGGGAAACGCUUGAAGUCAGUCGCGUUGGCCGGGAAUCAGCCUUGCUUUUGCAUGGUGUACUUUCUGGUUGACGGGUCAGCAUCAAUUUUGAUCACUGGAAAAGGCUCAAGGGAAUGUGGCAGCUUCGGCUGUGUUAUAGCCCCUGUUCACAUACAGUGGUUGGGAUUGAGGAACUCAGCACGCCGCAAGGCCGGGUUUCGACCACGUUCGUGCUUAGGAUGCUGGCAUAAUGGCUUUAAGCGACCCGUCUUGAAACACGG